rnacentral:rRNA from 1 species
AACGAACGCUGGCGGCAGGCCUAACACAUGCAAGUCGAGCGAGGUAGCAAUACCUAGCGGCGGACGGGUGAGUAACGCGUGGGAACGUGCCCUUUGCUACGGAAUAGCCCUGGGAAACUGGGAGUAAUACCGUAUGUGCCCUUCGGGGGAAAGAUUUAUCGGCAAAGGAUCGGCCCGCGUUGGAUUAGGUAGUUGGUGGGGUAAUGGCCUACCAAGCCGACGAUCCAUAGCUGGCUUGAGAGGAUGAUCAGCCACACUGGGACUGAGACACGGCUCAGACUCCUACGGGAGGCAGCAGUGGGGAAUCUUAGACAAUGGGCGCAAGCCUGAUCUAGCCAUGCCGCGUGAGCGAUGAAGGCCUUAGGGUUGUAAAGCUCUUUCGUGGGGGAAGAUAAUGACUGUACCCCAAGAAGAAGCCCCGGCUAACUCCGUGCCAGCAGCCGCAGUAA